CGCGUAAACAACCUGCCUUCAGGAUGGGGACAACAGACGGAAACGACUGCUAAUACCGAAUAAGUUCCAAGAGCCGCAUGGCCCAUGGAAGAAAAGGUGGCCUCUACCUGUAAGCUAUCGCCUGAAGAGGGGUUUGCGUCUGAUUAGCUGGUUGGAGGGGUAACGGCCCACCAAGGCGACGAUCAGUAGCCGGUCUGAGAGGAUGAACGGCCACACUGGAACUGAGACACGGUCCAGACUCCUACGGGAGGCAGCAUG
rnacentral:rRNA from 1 species